rnacentral:lncRNA from 1 species
UUAGAUUACACGUCAGUAUCACAUUUCUGUGUUCAGUGAGCUACUAAAUCACGGAAAAAAUCCAAUUCAGUAUGUUUUCUUAAACUUUUAAAUCUCAUGCGAGAUGCCUAAUGUUUAGACAUUGUUGUUUUUAAAAAGUAUUUAUCAAAGUCAAACGACAAUCAUUUAAGUUUUUUUUUUCGUGCAAUACAAUUUGUGAUUAUGGCCGGAUCCAAGAUAUUUCAAAGAGGGUGUAGUUCACAAAAAAUUAAUUUAUACUGACGAGCGGAGCGAUG